rnacentral:rRNA from 1 species
UACAGAGGGUGCAAGCGUUAAUCGGAAUUACUGGGCGUAAAGGGUGCGUAGGCGGUUAGAUAAGUUAGAUGUGAAAUCCCCGGGCUUAACCUGGGAAUGGCAUUUAAAACUGUGUAGCUAGAGUAGAGUAGAGGGAAGUGGAAUUUCCGGUGUAGCGGUGAAAUGCGUAGAUAUCGGAAAGAACACCAGUGGCGAAGGCGGCUUUCUGGACUCAUACUGACGCUGAGGCACGAAAGCAUGGGGAGCAAACAGG